UCAUUUGAAACGUAUUAGAGGAUGGACUCAUCUGGGGGGUUAAAAAAGAAGCCAGACACUAUUUUUGUGUAUGAAAGAAGAAGAAAAGGCACUAACUCUAAAAAAAGAUUGUCGCUGUACAGUAAAAUAGCAAAUCUCAAUCAAGUCAGUGCCUUACCUUCAGAAUCUUCUGUGGCUAAAAAUGAUGGAUCACGUGAAAUUGGAGAUGAUGGCAGUUACUUUGAAUGCGAGCUGUGCAAUGAUGGAGGAGAAUUGCUCUGCUGUGAUGCUUGCCCUCGAACUUAUCACUUGGAAUGCCUUGGUCUUAAAUCUGUUCCUCCUGAAAAAGAAUGGCUAUGCCCAAACUGCUCUGAGCUUUCAAUGCCCAAGAAACAUUUGAAGAGCUCCAAAAAAGACAUCUCAUCUAAGAAAGUCAAAGCUGGUUCUUGCUCCUCAGGAUCAAAGAACAAGAAGCAAUCAAAUUAAGCAAUCGAUGGUAAUUUGGCUGGAAAGGAGAAUGAGGAGUCAUCCUUGUUCUUAUGUGGGCUGCGAAUGUUUAAGUUGGUGUAUUAAAAUUUGAGCUUGUUCUUGUGAAAUUAAGACUCUGAACAUCUGUUGGUUGAGGUAUCUAAAACUUGGUGAUAUUUAAGUUUUUAAACUAUUGCUUACAGUCACUUCUGGUGUAAUACUUUAAGGAAGAUUUUAAAUAAUUUCUGUUGAACUUCUUUUAUUGAGUUUCCAUUUUGUUGAAUCUGUUAGCAGAAGUUUUAGUCUUUCACGAUUCAAUUUAUAAGGAAGAUUAACAACAACUUCUUUAUAAUCACGUAACUUUUUUCAACCACGCAUUGGGUUUCUUCAACCACGCCUUGAUCCGUUGAUUUGUCCUUUGAAGAAUGAUGUUGGAUCCCUUUUUGUCGCCGAUUUUGUUUCUUUAGGCUUUUGGUCAGCACUCUAUAGCACUCGAAAGGAGUUUUGUUGGUGGGGCCUUUGGUUUGCUCGGUUGGCUUGGGUCUACGUUUGUGGGUGUCGAGCGGCUUGAUGAUGGUUUCCCUAGUCGAUUGAAACUUUUUCCGUUUUUCAAUUUCAAUGGGACCUUUGUCAUGGGGACGGGGUAGAUGCUAGGGGGUUUAGUUUGUUUAAGCACGUACGCUUUGGUGCGUUCGUGGU